UAAAAAUGAUGUCUGUGCUUCAGCUCAUGCAGCCCUUGUACCUACCUGCUUACUGGGCAAUUACAAGUGGCAAACUGUAUUUGCUGGUCUCUUCUCAUUUCUCGACCUCCUGUGUACAAGAUGACACCUUGUUGAGGAUACUCUGAGGAUAAAUCAGCUUCCCUAUAAGAAGCAGGUCCUGGUAGCAGGUCUCCAUCAGGCUAACAGUCGCUUCUGGAGAUCAUCUAGCCAGCUGUUUUAUUUGUGAAAGGAAGAAUAAAUCAACUACUCAGGAUAGUAUUAUGUUUGAGAGAAAAUCAGAAGAAAACAGACUCAGUGCUUCUUUUCUUUCUCAGAGACUCACAGGAAAGUAGGAAACCCAACUGGUUGUGUUCACACUUCUUUAUUAGAGGCC